rnacentral:rRNA from 1 species
AGAGUUUGAUCAUGGCUCAGAUUGAACGCUGGCGGCAGGCCUAACACAUGCAAGUCGAACGGUAACAGGAAGCAGCUUGCUGCUUCGCUGACGAGUGGCGGACGGGUGAGUAAUGUCUGGGAAACUGCCUGAUGGAGGGGGAUAACUACUGGAAACGGUGGCUAAUACCGCAUAACGUCGCAAGACCAAAGAGGGGGACCUUCGGGCCUCUUGCCAUCAGAUGUGCCCAGAUGGGAUUAGCUAGUUGGUGAGGUAACGGCUCACCAAGGCGACGAUCCCUAGCUGGUCUGAGAGGAUGACCAGCCACACUGGAACUGAGACACGGUCCAGACUCCUACGGGAGGCAGCAGUGGGGAAUAUUGCACAAUGGGCGCAAGCCUGAUGCAGCCAUGCCGCGUGUAUGAAGAAGGCCUUCGGGUUGUAAAGUACUUUCAGCGGGGAGGAAGGUGUUGUGGUUAAUAACCGCAGCAAUUGACGUUACCCGCAGAAGAAGCACCGGCUAACUCCGUGCCAGCAGCCGCGGUAAUACGGAGGGUGCAAGCGUUAAUCGGAAUUACUGGGCGUAAAGCGCACGCAGGCGGUCUGUCAAGUCGGAUGUGAAAUCCCCGGGCUCAACCUGGGAACUGCAUUCGAAACUGGCAGGCUUGAGUCUUGUAGAGGGGGGUAGAAUUCCAGGUGUAGCGGUGAAAUGCGUAGAGAUCUGGAGGAAUACCGGUGGCGAAGGCGGCCCCCUGGACAAAGACUGACGCUCAGGUGCGAAAGCGUGGGGAGCAAACAGGAUUAGAUACCCUGGUAGUCCACGCCGUAAACGAUGUCUACUUGGAGGUUGUGCCCUUGAGGCGUGGCUUCCGGAGCUAACGCGUUAAGUAGACCGCCUGGGGAGUACGGCCGCAAGGUUAAAACUCAAAUGAAUUGACGGGGGCCCGCACAAGCGGUGGAGCAUGUGGUUUAAUUCGAUGCAACGCGAAGAACCUUACCUGGUCUUGACAUCCACAGAACUUUCCAGAGAUGGAUUGGUGCCUUCGGGAACUGUGAGACAGUGCUGCAUGGCUGUCGUCAGCUCGUGUUGUGAAAUGUUGGGUUAAGUCCCGCAACGAGCGCAACCCUUAUCCUUUGUUGCCAGCGGUUAGGCCGGGAACUCAAAGGAGACUGCCAGUGAUAAACUGGAGGAAGGUGGGGAUGACGUCAAGUCAUCAUGGCCCUUACGACCAGGGCUACACACGUGCUACAAUGGCGCAUACAAAGAGAAGCGACCUCGCGAGAGCAAGCGGACCUCAUAAAGUGCGUCGUAGUCCGGAUUGGAGUCUGCAACUCGACUCCAUGAAGUCGGAAUCGCUAGUAAUCGUGGAUCAGAAUGCCACGGUGAAUACGUUCCCGGGCCUUGUACACACCGCCCGUCACACCAUGGGAGUGGGUUGCAAAAGAAGUAGGUAGCUUAACCUUCGGGAGGGCGCUUACCACUUUGUGAUUCAUGACUGGGGUGAAGUCGUAACAAGGUAACCGUAGGGGAACCUGCGGUUGGAUCACCUCCUU